rnacentral:rRNA from 1 species
AGUCGUAACAAGGUUUCCGUAGGUGAACCUGCGGAAGGAUCAUUAAUGAAAUGUUAGGACGUUCUUUUUAGAGGUCCGACCAACUCAUUUUACCUUUCACACUGUGCACAUCACUACUUUUUUACACCCAUUUUUAAACACUUUAACAAGUCUAAGAAUGUAAAACUAGUCUCUUAACUGAGCAUAAACAUAAACAAAACUUUCAGCAACGGAUCUCUUGGCUCUCCCAUCGAUGAAGAACGCAGCGAAAUGCGAUACGUAAUGUGAAUUGCAGAAUUCAGCGAAUCAUCGAAUCUUUGAACGCACCUUGCACUCUUUGGUAUUCCGAAGAGUAUGUCUGUUUGAGUGUCAUGAAACUCUCAACCCCCUUGUUUUGUAAUGGGACGAGCGUGGGCUUGGAUUAUGGCUGCUGCCGGCUUUCAUUAGUCGACUCGGCUGAAAUACACGAGCUACCCCGAUUUCUAAUUAGAGAAACAAACGGCUUGACUCGGCGUAAUAACAUAUUUCGCUGAGGACGUUACGUUCUCUAAGUCAUAAAAGAAUCUUAGUGGUGCUUCUAAUGCGUCUGUUCAGUCAGACACCUUAAGCUUUAGACCUCAAAUCAGUCAGGACUACCCGCUGAACUUAAGCAUAUCAAUAAGCGUAAAAGUCG